rnacentral:rRNA from 1 species
GACGAACGCUGGCGGCAUGCCUAAUACAUGCAAGUCGAGCGGACUUGAUGGAGAAGCUUGCUUCUUCUGAAGGUUAGCGGCGGACGGGUGAGUAACACGUAGGCAACCUGCCUUUCAGUUUGGGAUAACUUCCGGAAACGGAUGCUAAUACCGAAUACAUCAUCUUCUGGCAUCAGAGGAUGAGGAAAGACGGCGCAAGCUGUCACUGAGAGAUGGGCCUGCGGCGCAUUAGCUAGUUGGUGGGGUAAUGGCUCACCAAGGCGACGAUGCGUAGGCGACCUGAGAGGGUGAACGGCCACACUGGGACUGAGACACGGCCCAGACUCCUACGGGAGGCAGCAGUAGGGAAUCUUCGACAAUGGGCGAAAGCCUGAUGGAGCAAUGCCGCGUGAGUGAUGAAGGUUUUCGGAUCGUAAAGCUCUGUUGCCAGGGAAGAACGUCCAGGUGAGUAACUGCACCUGGAGUGACGGUACCUGAGAAGAAAGCCCCGGCUAACUACGUGCCAGCCGCCGCCGUAA